rnacentral:rRNA from 1 species
AGCGAACGCUGGCGGCAGGCUUAACACAUGCAAGUCGAGCGCCCCGCUCGGGGACCGGCAGACGGGAGUGUAACACGUGGGAACAUACCCCUUGGUUCGGAACAACUGAGGGAAACAUCAGCUAAUACCGGAUAAGCCCUCACGGGGAAAGAUUUAUCGCCGAAAGAUUGGCCCGCGUCUGAUUAGCUAGUUGGUGAGGUAACGGCUCACCAAGGCGACGAUCAGUAGCUGGUCUGAGAGGAUGAUCAGCCUCACUGGGACUGAGACACGGCCCAGACUCCUACGGGAGGCAGCAGUGGGGAAUAUUGGACAAUGGGGGCAACCCUGAUCCAGCCAUGCCGCGUGAGUGAUGAAGGCCUUAGGGUUGUAAAGCUCUUUUGCCCGGGAAGAUAAUGACGGUACCGGGAGAAUAAGCCCCGGCUAACUUCGUG